UAAGAAAGCUGAUGUGACUUUACUAACCAUGCUGGAUGUAUGAGGAAUUCUUCUCAAAGCAUGAAGAACUACCAAGAAAACCCUUAAAUAUUCAGAAUAAAGGAAGAAUGUGACAGCAUAAGCCAAGAUAUUCUGAUGAUCUAUUGGAAAAUCCAAGAGGGGAUCAUACUGCUGUCAUCCAAACAACCCUACAGGGAUCAGGAAGAAGCUUAAAAUUCCUAGGAACUCUGAGUUUACAGGAGUAGAGAAACACAACCAGAAUUUAGGUAUUCAUAUGUGCAUGUUUUCACUAGGUUGAAAUUAAGAUUGC
rnacentral:lncRNA from 1 species